GUUAAAUUUUAUGUCUCCCUCGUGUACGGAAAUUAUCUUCGAACGAUCGACCAUCCCGAGUUAAACGACACAUCCGUGAAACUAGUGAAAAUAAUUUAUCGCAUGGCAUUGCAUCUUCACCAAAUUAUUUUUUCGAAAUAUUUAUAUAGUUUUUAACCAUUUUGAAAUUUGAAUUAAUAUCGAAUUGCAUUUUAUCAUAAGUGAAAAUUUUUUCCUUAAUUAAUAAUAAUUGUUUAAUUAUAUAUCAGGAACAGGAAGAAACAUUAUUGCGAAAAAAAUUGGGAACCUUAGAUUUUAAGGGUAUUUUCUUUCGAACGAUAAAUAUUAAAAGGAUCUUUUAUAUAGAAGAUAGAUUGCUUUAUUGGCUGGAAACAGGUGAUUAUACAAUGCAUUCUUUACUGCCGAUGACCCAAGACCAAUGGCAAUGGUUCGUAAUUAACUGGCACCAUUAAUUAACUAGAGCGUUCCGGAUGUCGCUGACCUUGAUCGACUCGAGAUUGGCACUUCUUUCAAACGAUUCAUCGAGGAGUCGAUUAAAAAUUUAAUCGUCAAGCUUGCGAAUGAAUCGAUCAAACGUGUAUUUUGAUUUGUGGACUAAAGAAGUAUAUUUAUAUUUUGCAUAAUGCACGUGGCAGACAUCUGUUAUUAUUCUAUUAAGGCGUUGAUUGAGAGAUAGAUGUUGAUUGAUUACGAUAGGAUUUGAUUAUAUUAGAUUUAGUUUAUUUUAAAUAAAAGAGCAACUCAAAAUCUUUAAAGAACAUAUAUUGAUUAUUUUAAUUUUAUAGUAUAAUAUUUUGAAUGAAUGAUUUGAAAAUAAAAUACAAUGCAUAAGUGAAUAAUUUUGAAAUUGGUGAUGUUGAAAAUGCUAAAUUAUUGAAAAAGUCGCAAAAAUUUAUAAUAAUAAUUUGAAUAGUACUUCAAAAAAUUUGCUUAUUCAGAUUUUAGCAAUUUAUUAAAAACGAUGACUAUUUAAUAUACUCUAACAUAUAUUUAUCUAUUAUCAAAUCUAAUUAAUACGAUGAAAUAAUCGUAUGGAAAUUAUUUUUUUUUAUAGAACUUCAAAAUCUAUAUGAGUUCAAGAUUAAUUAAACAACAAGGUUAUUACGUAUUAUUUUAUAUAUUUUACAUGACAUUAUCUUUUCGUUUAUACUGAAAUAAUUUCAUGGUUUUGGAAACUUUAAAUCUGUAACACAUAAUUAACCAGUGAAUAGUUAACCUCUGCUCGAAAUAAUCGCAGGUACUGUUACUAGUUUGGCCUUCUGACAGACUAAUUUAUUUGCUCUUGUAGUUUAAUCGUGAUAUUAUUUCGUUAACAGCAUAAUUUAUAUUGUGGGCAAAAUGAGUUAUCAAAGAUUUUUUAAAUAAAAACUAAUAUAAAAUUAGAAAAAAUAAAAUAAAAAAAUUUUUUUAUAUUAUUAAAAGUUUUAAGCGAAUUUUUGAAACUUGUUUAAAUUCAAAUAAUGUAAUUGGAUAUCAAUAGAUAUCUAAAAUAGCAAUCGAAGAUGUAUGUUGGAAUGUCUAUAACAAUGAGAGAAAUUUUUAAUAAAUUAUUAAAUCAUGUACUUUCAUCUCCCACAUUUUGAUUAACGAUAUACAUUUCAGUAUACGAAAUACAAAAUUUCUCAAAAGUCUCUAAAAAUUUUAAAAUUUUUCAUUGCUCUACUUCUAUUUCAUUUUUAUUAUUACUUUUCAAUAGCGCAUGUUUCUUGAAAUUUAUAAACAAUAUAAUAUAAAUUCGUAAAUGAUAAAAAUAUAAAACAUUUCGUUACGUUCGAUUCAUAUUGGCAAAAUGGUUUCAAAUUUUUUGAAUACAGUUAAUCCAAACAAGUUAAAACUUUAUUUGAAAGAAUAUUUCGUAUCAUAUGAAUAAGUUCAUAUUAGCAAAAAUUAAUUUCAAAUUACAAGUUAUUCUCUUGAAUAACUUGAUUAAUCUGAAUGAGAAUUAUAGAAAUUUUUCGUUCGAGAAAUUAUUCGAAGAAGAAAUUAGCGGUCCUCGUGGCCCGAAAUAUCAGAUGCAAGGAACUCUCGGACAACUCUCUAGAAAAAGAAUUGCUUUCUCUUUUGAUCACGUUCGUCGACAAAAAGCAAACGAGGAAAAGGCGAUGUCCUCGCUCGCAGUCGAAAAAGCAUCGAGUGUGACGGGUUACUGUUAUUUCAAGCUGCAUGCCGUUGUUUGUUCUUUCCGUGUCUUAUUUGUAACUGGCUGUACACAUUGAGUGUUAUACACGAAACAUAGUGUAUCUCUUUUCGAGGUCUAACCGUCCGGUUUACAAUAGUCGCGUGCCACUAAUGUACUUUGACCGUUGCCAGAACUCCUAUUCCACUAAAUAUUAAGAGGAAACAGGCCAAUUAUUGUAGAAAAUCUAACUUUUAAAAGUUAAACAUGGAAUAUAAAACGUGUAAUUAAAUUAAUAUAUUUUUAGGAUAAACAGUUAAGUUUUUACUUAGCUAUGUAGAUCAUUGUAGUAAUAUAGAUAUGUAUAAAUUAUAGAAAAUACUUACAAAAAUUUUUUCCAAGUCAAUAUAAUUUAUUUUCGUUUUAGAAAAUAUAAUGAGAUUAAUAGAAUAAAGAUUUAAUUAUAAUGCAGUAUAAAAAAAAUUGUAAUAAAUAUAACAAGUAAAAUUCUAAAUUAUAAGCAACUAGAUAAUUUAAAUGAGAUAUAAAAUAUUUUUAUUUAUAAUAUAAAAAUUCUUAAUCAACUUAAUCAACAUUAAUAGCAAUUAGCAUUUGUUAAUCUUCGUAGAAUUAAAUAGACAAUAAAUAAAUAAAGAAUAAA